rnacentral:rRNA from 1 species
CCUACGGGAGACAGCAGUGAGGAAUAUUGGUCAAUGGACGAGAGUCUGAACCAGCCAAGUAGCGUGAAGGAUGACUGCCCUAUGGGUUGUAAACUUCUUUUAUAAAGGAAUAAAACGAGGCACGUGUGCAUUUUUGCAUGUACUUUAUGAAGAAGGAUCGGCUAACUCCGUGCCAGCAGCCGCGGUAAUACGGAGGAUCCGAGCGUUAUCCGGAUUUAUUGGGUUUAAAGGGAGCGUAGAUGGGUUGUUAAGUCAGUUGUGAAAGUUUGCGGCUCAACCGUAAAAUUGCAAUUGAUACUGGCAGUCUUGAGUACAGUUGAGGUAGGCGGAAUUCGUGGUGUAGCGGUGAAAUUCUUAGAUAUCACGAAGAACCCCGAUUGCGAAGGCAGCUUACUAAACUGUGACUGACAUUGCUGCUCGAACGUGUGUGUAUCAAACAGGAUUAGAUACCCCAGUAGUC